CAUGUACGGGAGGCAGCAGUGAGGAAUAUUGGACAAUGGUCGGAAGACUGAUCCAGCCAUGCCGCGUGCAGGAAGACGGCCUUAUGGGUUGUAAACUGCCUUUGCAGGGGAAGAAUAAGGACUACGAGUAGUUUGAUGACGGUACUCUGCGAAUAAGCAUCGGCUAACUCCGUGCCAGCAGCCGCGGUAAUCAUG
rnacentral:rRNA from 1 species